rnacentral:rRNA from 1 species
AACGAACGCUGGCGGCAUGCUUAAUACAUGCAAGUCGAACGAGAGGAAGGAAAGCUUGCUUUUCUGAAUCUAGUGGCGAACGGGUGAGUAACACGUAGGUAACCUGCCCAUGUGCCCGGGAUAACUUCUGGAAACGGAUGCUAAAACCGGAUAGGUAGCAGACAAGCAUUUGACUGCUAUUAAAGUGGCUAAGGCCAUGAACAUGGAUGGACCUGCGGUGCAUUAGCUAGUUGGUGAGGUAACGGCCCACCAAGGCGACGAUGCAUAGCCGGCCUGAGAGGGCGGACGGCCACAUUGGGACUGAGACACGGCCCAAACUCCUACGGGAGGCAGCAGUAGGGAAUUUUCGUCAAUGGGGGGAACCCUGAACGAGCAAUGCCGCGUGAGUGAGGAAGGUCUUCGGAUCGUAAAGCUCUGUUGUAAGAGAAAAACGACAUUCAUAGGGAAUGAUGAGUGAGUGAUGGUAUCUUACCAGAAAGUCACGGCUAACUACGUGCCAGCAGCCGCCGUAA